AAUAGCUUAGAACAUCAAAGCGAUGCACUUUCCUCUAUCUAUCCGUUGCAAGCAGAGUAUUAAUAGCCUCCUGUCUCCAGCUGGUAUUGUACAAUAUAGUGUUCAAUAUCUUACCUGAAGCUUCCAAGAUCGGACGUUUACUUGCAUUGAAUGUACUUUGGUAGCUAAACUAUUCAUUGGAUAGGAUGGCUAGGCUUCCACAAGGUCCUUACUGAACUUGUAACCUGGUGGCAACCAACCAGAUAACC